rnacentral:lncRNA from 1 species
AACUGCUACGUACGGAUGAACUAAUUAACACACGCAUGCAUGCAAAUAUACGAUGCUUAAUUAAUUAACACCGAUCGAUCCCCAUUAAAACCAAACCACAUCGAUCAGACGUCGAAGGUGUUCUUGCCGGUGAACUUGACCUCAAUCGGGCUAACAUUCUUCCCGAUGCUCCUGAAAUUCUGCCCGACGCCCUGCCUGCCGGCGUUCACCUUCUCCGGGUACACCCCGUCCUUGGGGUGGAGGUACUGCACCUCGCCGCUGGGGAAGACGCGGUAGAACUGGUAGGCGAUCUUGUACUUGGAGCGGAGCCGGUUGCCGAGCGCCAGGCACUGCUCCUUGCGCGCCAGCUUGAGGAGGUUGGGCCCCUCACGCAUGAUGGCGGCGCCGCCCGUCGGCAUCUCGAACACCUGCUCCUUGGGCGACGUCCACGUGAUGACGUAGAAUUCCUCGACCUGGGCUUUGCGGAGGAGCCCGCCCGUGCUGCCGCCGAAGAUUGGGGAUGGGGUUGAGGGGUCGAGCUGGGGCGGGACGAAGCCGGCGGGGGCUGGGGUGGCGACGGGAGCCGCCGGGGUUUCUGGGGCGGCGGCGUGGAGGGCGGUUGGGGCGCGGGAGGUGGGGGAAGGGAAGGCGAGGGAGCGGGGUUUGGGGGAGGAGGAAGGGGACCGGGUGGCGGCGAGGAGGUGGCGGGUGGCGGCGGAGGCUUGCGUGGCCAUGGCCAUGGCGGGAGCUAGCUUAGCGAGAGCAAGGAGCGCGCGUGUGGGGGAUGGAUAUGGAUCGGAGUUGAUGGAGGGAAGAAGAAGAAGGGGUGGCUGAGCUUUGGCUAAAGAGGGGAUUGGGGGUGGAGAAGCGGAUAAGGGGAUAUGAGGCCGGCCAAUGGGGAGCCCGGGUUUUGAUACGGCCGGAGCGGGAGGCUUGGCGUGGCGACCACAGAAAACACAAUACAAAUCGCAGCGUGUCAACGUGCACUGGGGUCGCCGGUCGCGGUUUUCCGUGGAUUUUCCUUCCACUCUGUAUGUAUCCGACGACGUUCUAGAUCUUUUCCGUAAAGAGUUGCUUUAGUCGAUUUAAGGUGAGAGCAUUGGAAGCACUACAUGUAACGUGAAACACUGGCGUAACGUAAGUUGUAUUGCUCCAUAACCAGCUGCGACAUUCAUGUAGUGCUUACAUUGUAGUAGAAGGUAAGUACAAGUACAAGGGCUGCCGAGUGUACAGGUGUGCCGUUGAUUCAGGCCGGGAAUUGGGGACGUUGUCACGUUGACUUGGCCCAAACAAAGGAGAGUAGACUACUCUAAUUUGGUCUUCCCUGGAAACCUGGAGAGCCUGUCUCCUAGUGGUACAGGCUUAUGUUGCAGGCCGGGCUACAGGUGCGUAUUACGUAUUGGCUGGGCCGGCCUUUUCUGGGCCGGACAAGAUCGGUAGAAACAAUUUUUCCGAGGCAGGUAAACUGGCUCUAACGAAAUUUGCUGAAUUUGUUUUAUGAAUUUGGUGUAAAAAAAUACACAUGAAAGUAUGAUUAAAUUUAUCAGCGAAAUAAUUCAAUAAGAAAAAACAUGGGUACAUGAAACGGGAUUAUCAGAAACAUUCACGUUGUACCCCCUCCGUCCUAAAUAAGAAGUCCUAGGUUUAUAGAAAAGUCUAGAACUAUAAAUUACUUUUAUGAAAUCUUUCAUCGUAUGGCACCAUCUUUAUCUCGCCUUCAGCAUCGAUAUUCAGAGCCUUGAUUCCACCUGAUCAUCAUUGGGUCAGCUUGUUUCUGUUCGUACGAUGUCUCACAUACCAACCGAUUCUACACUCUGUACAUCAUCGAUGACCAUAAGGAUUUGCGCUAAUCCGCUCCUCCCGUUGUCCAUCGUCCGUCCGUGUGAGUCAUCUUGUAGCUCGCUCGUGUCAUCCUGCGUGCAUGUUCUCUUUCAGAAUGGUGAGAGGGCAUGCCUGCUCAAAUAUGGGACAGCAUGUCAACAAGCUCCCAUUCACUCUCUGCCACAUAUCCAGAUGAUGCUUGAAAUGCUUGAAAACUAAUGCAUGACGGGAGUUGGCAGGAGACAAGGGUGAUGACCUAAGGGGCCACGAAAAAGAAAAGAGGAAGAGAAAAUACAAGGACAUUUUGGUCUAAAUUCCUACCGUGUUUCUGUAAGUUUCAAGAAGUUGAUGUCGAAUUUAUCCGAAAUUGGUUUUUCUCAGCAGCUUCUAUUAAUACAGAAAAAUUGUCCUUGCAAUGGCAUUUAGCCAAUUAAUUAUAAGGAAAUAGUUUCUUGAAUCUUCAAAAUAAUCGUAUGAAAGAAAACCAUGCGGUUGCAAAUAUGGAUCCUUUCAACACCCACGUUUUCUUCAACAAAACAAGUCUUAGAAAAUAUAGCCGCUGCACCCACGACCCAACCUAGGGCGCCAAAGCCAAACUGUAGACCAGAAAAACCCUGGACCAUCCACGCCGUCCAUCUCCGAUCCUACGUCCACGGGCUUCCCCACGGCGAAGAGCAGCGGCCUCGAUAUAGGAGGGAGUCGCUGCUUCGUCGGCCCUUCUCGCCAAAGGAAACGCAGCCCAGGAAGCAACAGCCUCAUCUCCCCCCCUCCCAAGAACUCCCCUCUCUGCUCCAAGCUCCGGCCCCCAAUCUCCUGCAGAUUUCUCCCCCGCGAAUCGCCGGCGGAGCAGCGGAUCUGCGAGCAUUCUCUCGCCCCCUUCGGUCUCCUGGCGGCGCACGGGCGACCAUGGCCUAGGGUUUUGCUCUCGCCCUCUCUCGCUGAACUGCUGGGAACCCGGCGCCGCUGGGCUAGACCGUGCCGGCGGCUGAGCUAGGGCGUGUUCGGGGCAGGUCGGGCGUGGCGGCGGCUGGUCGGGGAAGCAAGUCGGGCCUGGCGGCGCGCUGACCUGGGAUAGGAGGAGGGCCACGAGUGUUUGCGGCGGCAAGACCGGCAACCGGCAGCAGGACCUCCUCUGCUUCAGUUUCGGCUUCUGGUGGUUCGUUGCUCCGAAUCCUGAGGUAUAAACCCUAACUCACUGUUGAUUCGUGGAGAAGUUGUGGAUCCGGUUGGUGGCCAGUAGAUCCGCUUGGUUUCGCCCUUCCUCGGUUUGAUUAUGUUGGUAGAUGAGUUGAAAUCCCUCCGUUAGCACUGUUACUUCUGGAGAAGAGGGACGUUUUUUUUUUGCCUUGCACCGGCAGUUUGUAGUGGGAGUAUGUGCUUCUGACUUCCAUUUUUUGUUGUAAAAUAGUAGUACUCCGUAUUUGUUUGGUUAAUUGUUCAUAUUUAUUGCAAAAACUUCUCCACAAACUAUUGAUGUGUUGCGUUUUGUUGUUGUUGCUAAACACUCAAACUGGCCAUCACCGGCUUAACCAAACAUUCAAAGUGACUCAUCCAAGUCCAUCAAAUCUUGGUCGCCUGCCCACCCGUCUGCCCAUCUUCAACCAAACUUAGUUUCAGUUUAUACUUUGUACCCCAACUAUGCUUUUACUACCAGCUAGAGGAGAUUUAACAGUCACUCGAAGAUGUCGAAUCUACCCGUAGAGAACUAUUUUAUAUAUUUUUUAAAUUCAUUCUGGUCUGCAGUUUAGGAUUUAGCUGCUGACGGAUUUGCUCUUUCAGGAUAACGAUGGAUCAGGAUAAGGAAUCAAGACCCUCAAGGUCACCCAGUGAGCCAAACUUAUUCCUGCAAUGGGGCAGCCGGAAGCGGCUUCGCUGUGUCAAGACACGCGAAGAUGGCUCGCCAUCACCAGCUCGGUCUGAUGUGCUUAGACGUACCAUACCCCGAGUAAAUCGGCCCCUUCUGGGUGGUGAUGUUGCACAAUUUCGUUCACCACGGCGCCCAAGCACUCUUCAUAGCAGGUAAUUCCCAUACGCAUAUGCCCCUUUUGUGUAGCAGUGGAAAAUGUCAAGAAAUGCCUUAGUAGGGUGUCUCAACAUGAUGUUUGUCAGCAGGAAAUCUGAGGCACAGGCGAGUGAGAACAGGCAGUCCAUGUCGCUCUCGCCAGAGAAAGACCGGUAUUACUCCACUAGGGGUUCCCCAUUUCAUUUUGAGGGGAAUGGUUUUGAUUUCAAUGGUGGAGUGGAAGAGAAGGGCACCACAGCUCUGCCAAGGUUCUUCAUCUCACUGUCCAACAAGGAGAAAGAGGAGGACUUCAUGGUAAUGAAGGGCUGCAAGCUUCCACAGAGGCCGAAGAAGAGGCCAAAGUUGAUGCAGAAGUCCUUGCUUGUAAUGCUUUCUUCCACAAAUUUAACUGCAAAGUUUUGCUCUUUUCAAAGCUGUGAAUUGUGUUCAUGCUCAUUUCUAACACUCUUGUUUUUCACCGUUGUGCAUGUCCAUAGAUGGUAUGCCCAGGAGCAUGGCUGUCAGACUUGUCACAUGAGAGGUAUGAAGUUAGAGAGAAGAAGAGUUCCAAAAAGGUAAACCUAGACUGCAAUCAUUUCUGUUUGGUUGCAAGUAACCUAACUGUUCUCUUAGUUCAAAUUUAAGUUCAUCUGUGUACAGUUGUUAACACGUGCAAAAUCAUUCAGCAGAGGGCUAGAGGACUGAAGGCUCUGUGCAUGGAGAGUGAUUCAGAGUAGAGAUUGAGGAGGGGGUCAAUUUUUUUUGACUUGUGCUGGAGGCAGAAAGACAGCGGUACUUAAGUAGCAAUGGUGGCUCUUUAACUAGACAAACCUCAGCAGCUAAUUUAGCAGGGGGGAUCAGUGCCUGCGCCCCUCCCUUAUUCACCCAUGUUGUAUGUCCAUUAUCCCACCCCCUUUUUUUUGUCGAGACUCGAAAGAAAUUGUCACCUGGAACUAUUGCACAAUGACCAAAUCAGUAAUCUUAGAUUCUGCCUGAUCUAGUGAUCCUGCUCUAGUUUCGAAAAACGACCUAGGUUUGUGGGUUGGUUAUGACUGAUAUUGCUGUGGUCACUUGGAUGGAGGUUUUGUGGGCACCUGGUUGUUCAUGCAUGAUCUUUCCACCUCUGUAGCCGGUGGUUGGUCGGUAUACUGCUUAGACUACCCUUGUCUUGGGCUUUCAGAGUGGUUCGAUGCCUCGGUAGUUUUUGUUUGGUGGCUCCGUUGGUUGGUGCUUAUCUGGGACAUAACCAAUGGAUGCCAUCACCUCCAUUUCGCAAGUUUAACCUACCUCGUGAGGAAGAAGGAAAGAACUCUUCAUUCUUUUAACAGCAAAGAAGGAAAAGACUCUUUGUCGAGCCUUUUUGCAGGCCUGUGGAAAAAACUCUUGAAAUCUGAAAUCUGCGGGGUUCCUAGACUCCCGACCUGUGCUAGAGCCCAUGGACCUGUUCCUAAAGACCGCCGACGCUUCCGGCCUCGAAGAUAAUGCCAGCCCAGUAGAUGAGAACAUCUCGGUUCUCGACGAGGACGGGCUCAGCAGCUAGUCAGUCAGUCAACCCAUGUCCAAUGACUCCACUAUCCAGUUUCUUCGCUCAAAAAAAAAGAAAAAUCCAGUGUUUUCCUUCUUUUUUUCGGACGGAGGCAGCCCUAAAUCGCCCGAUGAUCAUGGACAUGCCGCCCGUACGUACUCUGGAGUAUGGUAAGUACACGCACUGUACAAUCGGUAAGGACAUACGGAUCGAACCGGUCGCCACGGACCGUGAGACAGCUCGUCAACGGCUCAGCGCUGCUGCUCUUGCAAGAAACAAUACGGCAGAGGAAGCAAUGCAAGCUUGACUGGCCCGGCCCCGGACCCUGGGAUCCGUCCAUGGCUGAACCUGGCAUGACAUGGAUGAUGGAUCUUUGCUUGCUCCCCAGCCAGAUAGCCAGGCCAAAUCUUCCAUCUUCAAUGGCACCGAUAUGAUCAAUGGAUAUACGAAGCACAUACAUAUCUUCUUUUUAAUAUUCUGGAGUACCGACUGUACAUCCUUUUCCACCUUCAUGUUAAACAAAACUAUACCUGACACAUUCAAACUGCCCAUGAAGGAAUAAUCAAAGAGGACAGAUGUCUUGAUGCUCUGAUGGCUGUCCAGUACCCAGUACCAGCACAGUUAUCAGUUGUUUGUUGGCAUUGAGCAUUUACCAUUUGUCGGUUCAUGGCACACAGGCUGCUGAACUAACGGGCAAAGUUUAAAAGCACGCAAGGCUUCCACAGCACCACAACACGACCAGUUCAAGGUUCACCGGUAAUUAUACUGAAUCUCUCCCGGACGCAUUGCUCCUUUCGAUGCGCCAUAGUGGCAUCCAAAGGAGAGAAAGUCGUCAAGAGAAAUAAUAAAAGCAAGGCACUAAGGCCCCCUUUGGUUAAGCCCAAGAGAGAGCAUACUCCAUGACCAGAAACAAGAGCCAAGUGAAUCAACCAUAUAGGUGAAAGGAGGAAGAGGGUGGUAGGCCACAGCCACAGGCGCACCAACAACAUGCCCAUGCUUCUCUUCAGAAGACUGGCACAGAAAGAGGGAGGGGAAAAAAAGCUCGAGAGAAAAACUAGGAAAGCAACACUGGGACCCCAUUCACAUGACACACGCUAAUCUAGGGCUAAGAAAAACUUGUGCAGAUGGUGUAUUACACUUGAAUGGAUCACUCAGUCAGGGUGUCUUCUGGUCACUGGCAGCUUGCGCUCCUGCCGGGGCCUCCAUAGUAGAAGUAUGAUCCCCAGUCGCCAUUGUUGCCGUUCUGCACGUCGUAGCAGUUCGACUGCUCGGUGAAUGUGCCCACCCCCUUGGGGGCCUUGAGGUUGUUGGUGUUGUCCACCACUUGUAUGUUUUUGAAGUAGCUCGACUUGCUGAACCCUUCCUCUGGGAAGUGCCCGCUACCCAUCUGUGUCGACGUGUGCACGCCGCCGGGCUGCGAGUUCACCACCUCCCCGCCCCACUCGAUCAUCGACGCACUGUCCGCGAGGUAGGAGAAGAGGAAGGACGGCCAGUAGCCGAGGACGUACUCCUUGCCAAACUGCAUCCACCAGUGCCCCUCUUUCGGGUCCUGCUCAACAUAACAUAAGCCUCAGAAAUCGUUUAGAUGACAUGCGGCAUUACAGUACCAGGCGUGUCAAUGCUACGCAAUCAUUAGCACCGACAUACCACAAACUAGACUUUGAGUAAAGGGGAACAAGGGUAGCCAGUUUAGCACCGAGAUGCCGACAUUCAUGUUGCACUAAGCACUUAAGCAGGCCUAUGUAUGCACUCAUCACCCGUGCUCAAUAGAAAUGAAAAACCACUUGACUUUCUAUCUCAAACUCUUGCUUGUUGAGGUAAAAAGGUAGCAAUGCUUCAUGAGACUUCUUUUGACAAACACAAGCUAGAGUAAUCAUCAAGGCUAAAAAAGGUUGUUGACAAAAGAUGUAUUAUAACCACAGGGUUAUGUGGGGGUACUAAAAUAAUUCCCCAGAGUUCAGUCAAGGUUUCAAGGAGCAAGAGUAAAGAAGAGCACAGGAGCAAGUUGGCAGAGACUCUCUGGCCUGCAUGUUUGUGUCAAAUUUCUCUGACCGUAAAAUAGGGCCUGGCAUGUGUCAUGUGUAGUGACUUGUAUCUACAUAGUCCUAGAUUACCUUCCAGAUGAGUAUGCUGAUGUCAUAUUGGGAUCCGGAGUAGCCUGAGAUGGGGAAGAUGCUGGCUCCCAUGGCGACCUCACUGUUGAUCUGAACGAACCCUGCACAUAGUAUGUUGUAGCACCCUGUUGCCUGGUACGCGUCGCUCUACACAAUGCAAAAGAAUUGCAUUUAGUGAACAUCAACACGUCAUAAACAAGCACAUCCCACCAAAUUGCAGGGGUUGAUUUUGCUUACUGUCCAGUAGGUGAACAGCCUUGUGUGGUUGUCCCCGUAGAGGUCCGGACUAACCUGACGAAUCAAAGAAGCAAAAAAGAAGUUCAGAGCUCGUGACACCAACCACAACACAGGAAGAGAGCUAUGCUUCUAUCAACCGCGAAAACGGUGCUGCAUUUACUCUCUACAUGAGCGAUGGAACUGGAGGCAAAGCUCAUGAAGCAGUUGUCUGUGUCUGGUUUACCUGCCAGCCAGCCUCGAUGCUGUUGAGGUCUUCGCCGAAUGUGCCACCCAAGAUCCACAGCUGGGACAGACUGAACUCGUUGGGCUGCUCUAUCUUGGGCUCCCACACGUUGAUCGUCGCCUUGGCGCCAUAGUACUUCUCGCCUUGCACGUACGAUAUCGCGUGCUGAAAACACAAAUUCCACGGCCGGUGAUUAUGGAUUAUACGGCAGGCAGGCUCAAUCAGGAACUCUGAAGAUAGCUAGAUGAGUACAAAUACAAUGUGGGAGGACGUACUUGAUGGCCACCCUCGUUGAGCAUGGAAAGAUCGACAGACAUGGGGUUCGCCACCGUGUGCCGCUUCCUGCCGUACCGCCGGAUCGAGCUCGCCCGGAGCAGGUCGUCCUUCUUGGUCCUCCGGACCGGCACGGUGCCUUCCGGGCACCUGCCCUUCUGGUGCCACAGCUGAACCAUAGGCCUCUCGCCGUCGCCGGAGGAGGCCACAUUGGCCUUGGAUUCGUCGAACAGGCCUUCCGGGUGGUAGUUCGGCCUCAUCUGGAGCAAGCCAAAAUGCUUUAGGAAUAAACCAUAAUCGAAACCAUGGCUUGUACUGACGCAGUUGGAGUCAAAUUUACCUGGAUAGUGUGGUUCUUGAGGAAAGGGUGGUCGAAAGCCGGCUGGUGUGAGAUGUGCACGCAGUCUAUGAUGUCCCCAUCAGGGCUCUGCUCCAUCGAUUCAGAAAACCAAAAUUAGCUGUGUUUGAGCAAGGAUUGGGAGAGAACAGUAUUGCAAAAAGACAGUAGUUUGGCAUCCACUGAAGACUAAGAAUUAGCACAAAAGUUAUGCAAUAAAGAAAUUCGUGCAAGAACAAACACAAAGUGCCACCAGGAGGGGGGAGUGGGGUAUCUUUCCUGUAAAAUUUACACUGGUAUGCUUAAUGUGGCCAAAAGAAAGAUGAGGACUUUUGCACGAAAUGGUAUAAAGACUAAAGAGAAAGAGCGAAUCUCCCCCCAAGAACAAACCACACAAAAAGCCCCGGAGAAAGGCCAUCCUUUUGAAUUAGAUUAGAACUUUAAGAGAUUAGCCAAGAAACUGCAGCUGCCAUCUCGCUCAAAUCCCUCCCAAAUGCAGCUCCUUACAAACGCUAGCUUCGACUGGGAAGGGAAGGAAUCCCCAUCGAGAAAAGCCAUUCAAAUCUUGAGAAGAAGAGCGACAGCAAGAAGACAAUCUCGAAGGGACCUACGCACCUCGAUGCUCUUGACCGCGGGCUUGUUGAGGCGCUUGAGGUGCCGGUGCAUCCUGGCUUCGGGCGACCUCGCCGCGGCGGCGCACGAGAGGCACAUCACUGCCGCCGCGGCCGCCGCCACCAUCAGGCGCGCGACGACACGCACACGCGCGGUGGCCAUGGGCGGCGCUCCGCUCCUCCGCCGCCUCCCCUGCCCCCUCUCGCUCCCGGCUCCGGCUAAAACUCUGAAGACAGAAAAUCCCUUCUCUCUCUACCAAAGACGACCCACGCCGCCGGGGACCGCCGCCGCCGCAAGGCCGGCUCCGAGGGCCUGCCUGCGAAUUUCGAAACAAUGCGGGGGGUGGGGAUGGGAUGGGAUCAGCAGUGGCACGCUCUCUCGCCGCUUCUUGGGCGCCUCGCCGUCUCGGGUUGGGAGGGAUGGGGAGCGGCCGCUAGCGCCUAGUGGUAGUAGUGGGCAGUGUAGGGAGACCCGGCUGUACUAGUUGGUGGCAAGAGAGAGGGCUAGAGGAGCACUCUCGCUCGCACGCUGCAACUUUUGCCGUUUUCCGAGCUUUAACUUCCCUGUAUUCCUGGACCGAAAUGCCCCUUCCUGGUUCGAAAAUUACUUGGGGGCACCCGGAGUACAACAUGGCGGUCUCGGUGAGACUAGGGCUACUCUGAUUCAAAUAAAUAUUCACUCCGUCUCGAAAUAAUUGACUUGAAUUAUUUUGAAUUCUUAUACAAAUUCACGUCAUUUAUUUUAGGACGAAGAAAGUACAUAAGAAUUUUGAAGGAUUUAAAUUCUAAAGACCAUUUUCUUUGCUGGUCGUUUCAUGCACAGUGCUAGAAUCGUUGAGAAUUUUUUUAUGGAUCUUUUGCACUCUAUUUUUGAAGGAAAUCUCCAUUCAAACUUCUAUGUUAGAAUUCAUUUGUUUUUUUGUUCUUAUCCUAAAAGAAGGAAAUUCAUUUGUUUUUUUGUGGUGUGUUAAACAUUCCUUGGAUACUAAUUCUGUACUUUUCAAUCUUAUAGGAUUAUCUUCGAAUGAUUCUUAAGAAAAAUAUGCAACAUUGAUGCUCCCUCCAUUCCAAAAUAUACAUUUCAUAAGUUGACUGUCAGAUUUUCAAAAGUUUAACCAAGCUUAUAGCAAAAAAUAUUCAGUGUCAAACCAAGAUAGUAUGCAAAUAUAUUUCACAAUUGAUAUUAUGAUCUUGAUCCAACACUGCAUGUGUUGGUAUUUUUGUUAUAAGACUGACCAAAUUUAAGACAAUCAACAAAAGUUGUACGUCUUAUUUUUAUAAUGGAGAGAGCAGAUGCUAAGAUUGGCUUAUUCUAAAAGCUAGUCACUCCUUGUAGGAUUAUAAGACUUUGUUCUGAAAAUCUUCUUACAAAGACAAGAAUAAAUAAAUAAAUGAUACAACCUAACACAUGUAUAGUAAGAAAUUUUAAGCUAAGCCAACGUGAUUACUUGUACUGUCUGAUCAUCUUGUGACUUGACAAUAGUUCACUGAGAUGAUACCAAAAAUCAUGAUCAACCAGCACCGGGAGAAAAAUAGCUUUGACAUCCGUACGGCUUACAGGGUUUGGUGGCGCGCAGUCAAAUUAAUCCUUCCCUACCAACACCCGGCGAAACGAACUCGGGGUUAUAAAACCCGAACAUGCUCUUUGUUUCUCGGACGGGUGCCGUCGUCGUCCUCCGUUCACGCCUUGGACGUGCGUUACGUGCAUACAGGCCCGGGCCAACCCAAACGGCUUUAUCCCGUUCUCCCCGGGAGCCCGAAGCGUGCGUGUGCUUGCAUGGCCCCGUUGGUAAUUUCGCUCCAGUCCAGUCCACCGGCUGGCUGUGGGCCAGCAGUCAGCAGUCAGCAGGCCCCACCCACAGUGGGGAAUCGGCCGCGCCACCUACCUCGGGUCCCCGUUUGCGUUUCCCCACGGGUCGCUGGAGAGUGGGGGCCGGAACACGUCGGACCCACAUGGCGUUGGUGGCUUCCGGCGCGUGCGGCCGCGGCCCAUGUCCGGCACAGUGCGUUCGCAUCGGAUCCGGACGCAACGCACCGUCAAAACUGAGACGACCGGGUCUCGGACUCUCGUUGGUGAGGGGAAGAGAAGAGUGAUUAAGUAGCGCUGGUGCUUUCACUUUUACUUGCUUGCACGGGAGCUGCAAGAAAAGAAGAAGACCUACGGACAAAGUACAGGCCAUGGCUAAUUUUAUGCAUGUUUGCAGUAGUACGAGCACCGUCGUACUAAUAAUAAUUCUUUAACGACUAAUCAUGGCAUCUAGGCAUGCAUGCAGGCAAGCACACGGCGGCCGCUGCAAAACUGCGUGGCAUGUUUUCGAACCAAUAGGAUCGUACGAGUUGCCUACCGACUACCAAGAAACUAGUACUAACAAACCCAUACACCUGCAAUUUUAAUCUUGUGGCCGACGCCUGCAAGAAUCGGCGCCAAAUGGUCAAAGUUCGUGCAGAGAACAAAAUGUUGCCCCUACACUGGCAGCACAAAAGCCUCUACGAAUAUUUAACUGCGCUUUGUUCCAGACACUUGUUUGGGAUGUUUCGCACUUUGGUACUAGCACCAGUAUCACUCCCAGACAGUGCAAAUCAGAGGCCAGUCAGCAGCAGCAACGACAAUAAUAAGUAUUCCUCCUGGUAAAACCUGGUACCACUGCUAUACUAAUUAAAACGUAAACAACCCCUGGUAAACCCCUGCGACCGAUAAUUAUAGUGCCUAUGCAUGCACAGCUGCCGGGUUUGGUUUGGUUCGCGCGAUGCUGAAGCAGCAGCUAGCAGCGUCAACACAUCGUCAAAGCAGCCCUGACCAUGCAGUACCGCAGUGCGAGUAGUAAAAUGCUACGAUUGCCCGGAUCUUACAGUCUCGGUAAGAGGGUGAAAAUAACGUGCUAAAUAGAAGGCUACAAAAUUAAUCCAGGAACAGUACGUGUGGUCCUUGCCUGACCGAUGGGCCCACAUGGCAGGAAGAGUAUUGGGUCAGGUCAAGGCCGGAUGUAUCAGGCUCACAAGACCGGUUGUACCCUCAGUGAUGGAAUGGUGCAGGCGUGCAUCACCAGAAGCGGUGAAAAAGUUUUCACUCUAUCGCUGGGCUGCAUUUAAGGUUCUUCAUUUUCUUUUUCACUCUUCUGAGGUAAUGUCUUGAUAUUUGAUAAGCUGAACACUCUAUCUAGCUAGUAUGACCACUUAAUUAAUAAGCCGGAUGCAUUAUUUCGGUACACUAGCACUAGCAUGUGCUUGAUGUACAAGCUGAAGCUUAAGUAAAACGGAAGCAUAUGGCAAGCAGAAGGAAUCCAUCCUGACGAGGCAGAAAGCCAUCCGUUUUGCUUUAGCUCCUGGCGCUUUUCAUGCACAAACACUUGAAAGACACCUUUCUUUCCUAUACUUACUUUCAUGCCUCUAUUAUUUAGUUAGCACUUCUCAACAAGAAAAAAGUGGUCACCAAAAGCUAGCGGUACUCUACGCAAAUGGUCACUUCCCAGCCGUAUAAGAGCCGAAUCAUUGCACUACCUCACUCACUUUAGUAUGCAGCUUGUGUGGCGCAAAAUUGGAACAAAGUUCAACACAAGCUCUAAGAUGGGGUGAUUUGUAUAUCCAUGCAUGGACAUAAAAUUUGUCAGGUCAUGGCAUGGAGACAGGAAGCUAGUAUGUAUUACACGUCAGCUUAAUUAGCCUGUGACGUGCUGACAUGCCUGGGAAUGGCGAUCAGGCGAUGGGCAUUGGGACCCAAGGUAGAGAACAGAAGAGGGGUCAUUGGCACAAUUCAAAGCCGUUCUUGGUCACAUGGUGUGCUCCUUUAGCGAGCAAAGCUGGCAGGCUUUGUCCAGUUGCGCUAGCUGAAGCCGCUAAACAGUAAACAUACAGUGCAACCCUUUCUCAGUCUUGCUAUCACCAUUAAAUUUAUGGUCAGGAUCUCAAACUCCCUGCAGCACACCCAAUUAAUUAGGGCAGAGUGCAUGGAUGGAUGGAUGCAUAUAUGCUUGGCCGUAAGGACUCUAUAAUUAAACUAGUGGUACAGGAAUAUAAUCUGGCAAAGAAAGAUGGCCAUAUGCACUUUGGGCUCUUGAUGGUGUGCUAACCAGCUAAAGUUUGCCUGUACUGACAGAGAUGUGUCGUCCCAUGCAGAUCACUGUCGACUCGCAAGCCUUGUAGAGUCGGCCUCGUUGAAUUAACUCUGAUCAUUCUCAAUUCAUCAUUCUCGCCACCGGCCAACCUUGAAAAAUCAGACCACCUGUAUCAACAACAUGCAUUGGUGCACGGUCUACUGUAAACCCUACAGCUACGGUUUAGAUAAGUAUGCAUCUUCCCCUGAGCGUGAGAGCGUCCACAUCCAGGGGAUUGCAUGGCCUAGCCAAGGAGCCACUAGAGAAACCACCAUACAAGCGGCCCGUGAGCUAUAUAUACAGGCUCAUUUAUCUGACAGAUUUCUUGUGUGUGCGUUUGAGAUGCCAAAUGAGAUCGAUGUCUCACCAAAAUGAGACUAGACCUUGCCUUAGCAUGUACAGUACAAGACACAUGAAUAAUUUGGUGGUACGUGUUGGGCAAAUGGACAUGGGUACGUGAUGGGUCCGGUCAAUCACAAAGUGUCGCAUGCAUAUGUAUGUUCACCAGAAAAUUUUACCUGGAUUUUGUCCUCCCCUGUGCCUCCUAUGAGUACAACGUUUACUGAAGAAUAUAUACCAGGCUAUUAGCUAUAUGCUCUACUUUCUACUCGAACACGGUGAGAUUCUAGACCUUAGCUAGGCCCUCUUCUCAUCUCAGUAUUCUCCAGGCUUAGAAUACAGGGCUCAAAGAGAUGUACUACUUAACCACAUUUAGGAUGAAUCAUAAAUUGUAAAAGAUCAAAGGACAGAAAGACAGAGGCUACAUUUGACAGAUACUCCUAUAUCGCUUGCCCGUGAAGCGAUUACGAAUUGCCUAGGAGGCUACGAGCCCAGCCCUUUUACAAGUGCUCCUCCUCCUCUUACGUUCCAGAUGAGAGAUUAAUGGCUAUUGCCGCAAGAUAUAUAGGAAGUGCCCAAGGCCUAGCACACACGCGCAAUAAUGGAGGACCCAUGGCUAAAAAGCUGGAUCAGUGUUAGUACCAUGGUACUAGAUAGCUGCUUUUUUAUGGUAACCGGAGGCCCAUGGGACCCUUAUGUGCUCACGGUCCAUGAGGCCAGUCCUCGCAUGUGCCGAGGUCACAAUUCCACAUACUCAAUGAGGGACUCUUCAUCUAAUCCAUUUGAUCAAUGAUAGUAAUAUCGAAAGCUACAGUUUAACUGUAGCGAAUUGUUUGUUUGGCCAGAUUGACCUGUCGUCGAUUUAAAAUCUAGAUGUGGUUAUGGAUAUAAUGCAUAGAUGGAAAGGCAAUCUUCAGCUACCUUCCUGUUGGAUACUCUUUUUAAGAUAAUGGUAGAUGUACACGCAUUGACGUGAAAACGUACCAACAGAUACAGAAGAAUUUUAUAGACCUACGGUCAUACACCCUGUAUAGAGAUGUGGAAAAUAUGUGCUGGAGUACAUUCAGUCUGGCGUACCUUAAUGAAUCUGAAAGAAGUCUGGAGUAUAUUCAGUCUCUCGACUUUUCAAGGCUGGAAGCCAAGAGAAAGCUGGGACUUCCAAUGACAAUAGAGCUGACAAGAGGAAAGGAGACAGUAAAAUUUAGGUGUCCAUGGUAACCAGAGCAGAAGCACAGAAAACACAUGCAAUGGCUCAGCAUAAAAUCCCCAUACCCCCUAUCCCGUACUUAUCCUCUGACCAGGGAUAUUAAAAAAUUUAUUAACAACGAAACAGAUCAUUAACGCAUAUACAUAAUUGGACGACCACAUAUGAUGCCAAAAGACAGAAAGCAUAAUCAUUACAUAAUUAGUGCUUCUGACCAAAACCCACUGCUCUGAUUACCUGAAAGAAGCAUGACAAAAGUGCUAUGCUCUCAGAUAUUCUCCUCGCCUUCACAUCCUGAAGAAAAAAAGGUUCCAGAGUUGUACAAGCAUAUCGCCGGUUUCUUACCAACACAGAUAGAGACGGGAUUACAAAAAGCAUCCCACGGAGAUUGAUUUUGCUCAGGACUCAGGAGUCGACAUGGCAGAGUGCAAAGCUGUAAUCCAUCCUAUACACCGUGGUAGACUUUACAAUUUCCUUGUACUAUGCAGGGGCAUCCUAUACACCGUUGUACUUACAAAGAAGAAUGAAGUGCCGUCCCUUAUGAACUAGCAUAGUAUGACCUUAUUAUUUCCACAAAUGAAGGCAAACAUCUUCAAUUCACUUUCAAGUACACAGGUGACAUUUCAUCAACACCACUCCGUGACGAGUUCCAUUUAUAUCAUAUAUGUAACAUUAUAUACUUACAAUAUGAAUCAAAUUUUCAUCUCCCAGAUAUCCGUUUUCCAGAGCUCCCAACCCACUAACUUAUUUACAAUGAAGAUCUCGGCAAUGUUAGGUCCUGAAGACUAAGAGAUAGAAGGGCAAAUGGUUUUGACAUUUUGUGUGAGGUAUCACAACCUCACAGGCAAGUGUUCAAUCUCUGAAAUUGAAGACCCAAGCUCUCUCUCUUUCAGAGCCUUAUUCCUAAGCAACCUGAAACAGACACAAGUUAGAGAUGGAUGGAGUAACCUAGAAGUAAGAUUCUCCAAUCAUAAGUUCUUAUCCUAAGAAAUGCAAUGCACUUUUUACUAUCAAGCAUACAUGCCCCAUCGCCAUGGUAAAGAAGGAAAAGAAUCAGAAAGUCAGCAGAAGAGGAUCUAUUCUACUGACAGAAAUUUUAACUCUGCUAAUAACUUUUCAUAUUUUUCUGUCACAAAGUGUUGUUUUCGUAGAUUAAUUUCACUAAAAAGGAUGGUAGCCUAUUCAGUCAGUGUACACAUUAACUUUAAAGAUGACCAUAGCAAAAGAAAUUAUAAAGAUGAACAAGUACUCCCAUAAAAUAUCCUCUUGACACGUAAGUAACUUAUACAGUCAACAAAUCUAGGGUCAACACAUAGAAGUCUUUAUGUGUCACCACUAUCUAUUUUUUAGAAGUUAGAAAACCACUCACGUUAUUACAGUUAGAUGAUAUCAUCUGGUUAAUAUGGUAAACCCAUCGGAAACAUGCUUCUUCUCUAAGACUAAGGCCUUGUUUUUGGGAAUUAGAGCACAAAAGGUCGUUGAGGGAAAUGAAUCUAAAGUUUCAGCACACUGACCACGCAAGACACAACAUAUCAUCAUCAAUGAAGGUUGAAGCGACAAUCAGUUAUCAAUAUGUGCACAAUAGUUUGAGAACUAUUGUCCUUCUCAUCAUCAUGUUCCUCAGUGUUGUCAAAAGUUCAUUCCUCCAUCUAUCAUGGUCAGUAAUUUGCUCUGUCAGAACAUAGACAUCAAAAACCCAACCAGCAUGCUAAAUAUCAUUAUAAAACUGGUCUUCAACGCCCCUGGUGUUAAUUUUCUGUUUAUAUCAGGAAUUCACGACAUCAAAAGGAUCUAAACAUAAGAGCAUGAUAUGGACUGCCAUCCAAGGAUGCAACAAUAGCUCUAAUGAGAACAUAGCAAGUAUAGUAUGAACAGUGCAUAGUAUGUGUUGUAUGCCUGAGUUCUCUCUAUAUUUAACAAUUUUAUCGGCAAGCUUAAGAUUUUGGAAAAGUCAACAUGCCACGUUACAAUUAAGAGUAACUUCAGAGUCACCUUGUCCCCUCAAACUACAAGGUUUGCCAGAAACCUACUCUCAAAUACAACCCCAAACGGGCAACUAAACCACUAGGUCCUUUAAUGAUGUCCAUGGAAUCUUUUUUAUCAUACAAAUUAACUAGAAGAGGUGUGCAACUCAGUUACACCCACACUUAACUCUAAAUAUAGUGAAGAUCUAUAUAGAGAGAACAUCGAAUGUGCACAAUAAUGACAACAUUAGCACAAGCCUUAAGAUCAUCUUCCCAUAUCUUUUUAAAGUGGCCACCAGGAAAAUAGAACUGUUGAGAAGGAGCUCCACCAGAACAAUUGGAUUCGUGCACACCAGUGUCACUCUGGGAAAUGGUGCAAUGACUUUGUUUUGGCACGAUAGCCAGCACUGUAGCACAGGCCUUAAGACAGUCUUCCCAAAUCUUUUCAAAGCGGACACCAGGAAAAAUAGAACUGUUCAGAAGGAGCUCACACGUUGGUAUCUCCACAGGAUAAAUUGAAUUAGCCACCCUCACAGAGAUCAUCAACGGUAAUUCAGCCGCAGCCUCAAUCUCCUGAUGACAUCUUCUCAAGGUGGACAGAAAAUGGGAGUACAAGGCGUGUUUGCUUGCCUACCAGGCACAGUUUACCGGCUCCAAGAUUUGGAGGGUUCAUGCAGAGACAAAAUGUCGGUUCUUUCCUUGGUCCAUGCUCCACAAACCUUACGGCAGAUAACCUUGCAGCAAGAGGACGGGGUAUGGCCUCCAUGUGCUUUGCAAUUAGGUGCCAGAGAGUGCUGAGUGUUGACUACCAAUGCAGAAAUUGCCAUUAUACAAAGAUUUGGGAGAUGGUUCGGCUCUGGAAUGGCAAUUUUCCAUCCAGAAUUCACGCUGCUUCAUCGGUUGAUGAAUGGUGAAACGCUGAUAGGUGACAAUUAGUAGUGACAGGAAGCCUUGCUGAACGGCAGAGCUCCUCCCAUUUUCCUCACAGGUCAAGUAAGCGUGAAUGUAACAUAUGAUGCUCUAUAUGAUCCAGACAUAUUAACGGUUAGCAUAACCUAAAUCAUAGCGGCUUAUAAUCUAUACUGCCGAUUGCCAACUGUGCUUGAACAGUGAUUCCUAUAACCUUAGGACAAUCAUUUUGAUGUGGUUCAAUUCAAGUGGACGGCCUUAUGAAAACCCAUCAGGUUUGGGUAUUCAGACAGCUGAACCUGAAUUUGUGCCAGCUGUAGGAGAGCUAGUGCUACGGAUUAACCAGAGUUCAGACGUGCACAAACCCAUUCCACGCAGUAGGAUCACAAAGCUAAAUUACUAUACUAGUACUAUGUGAUUUAAGCAGUCGGAGACGAAACGGAAAUGGCUGAGUGAGCAAGCGGCAUACCUCAAUCGUCGUGAGGAUUGAUAUGAUCCCCAUCCUCGAUGUCAACAUAGUCGUCGUUGUCGUCGUCAUCCUCAUCUGAAGACGAUGAUGAUGAGGAAGAGGAGGAGAAGGAGGAACGGGAGUGCCGAGCUAGCAUGAGGUCCGGGGGCGGGAGCAGGAGGAGGCGCUGGCGGCGGCGAGGGUUGGCGAAGCGGAGAGGGGAGGCGUGGGCGGGGAUGAAGGGGACGCAGAGGAAGGCGGCGAGGCGGGCGAGGAGGUGGAGCGGCCCGCAGCAGAGGAGCGCGAGGACGCGGUCGGGCGGGAGCGUCUCCGGGUUGCACGCCACACGCUGCCACCCCUCCGCCGACGCCCGCGCCACCGCCACCACCCACCCCGCCCGCACCGUCAUUCCUCAGCCGCUUUUUAACCGGCGCCGAUGACGAAUCCCCCACACCCACCCACUCCAAUCCCCAACGCGCCGGAAUGGCGUGCGGCGCACGGUGGGGAGGAGGUAGCGAUUCGAGGCGCGCACGGCACGACCGCCCGCGCGCGUGCGUGGGGGGUUCUCUGCCUCGCUCCGCCCUGCCGCCGUGUGGAUCUCGCCGGCCGGCUCGGAUUUGCCGCUGCUUCUGCCGCCGGGGCAGCGUUUUGGGUUGUUCAAUCGAUUACGGUUGCUGGCGGGGCUGGGGAAUCUGUUGGGCUUUUAUAGCUAAGCUUUAUCUACUCAGAUGCGUACGUGGACUGUAGUGGCUGACUCGACGUGGAGCCCACUCGUCAGUGAUAAAUUUGCUGUUGCGCCUAAAGUUUCUCAGCGAGACACCUUUGAGAUAUUUGAAAAAAACAAGUCAUACAGCAUAGUUUGCAGCAGAAAAAGUAGCGCAGACGAGUCGGACCAACGCUUGAACACAACGCAACUACCUAGCAGUAGCAUGUAAACAUGUAUAAUGAUGGAUAACAUGGCAGAAACAAGGAAUACAGCUGGUUGCCUGGUUAAAGCACAAGUGUUUUGGGCCUCAUAACAAUGUCAGGAUCAUGGAAUAGAAAGGUUGCUACCGAAAGGUAAAGAAAAUAGCAUGGAAAAGCCAGAACGCCUACAGGUGAGGGCCAAUCCUGAAUAUUGAACAUUGAAAAACAGAGCUUUCGGUAUGGAACAGGAACUGUAUCAUCCACAGCAUUUUAUUUCAUGCAUUGUGAUGUGACGAUUAAUGUAAAAAAAAUAGCGACCUCUGUCGAGCACAAAAAAAAAAGGCUUCAUGGAAGAGUUCUCUCGUAAAGGGGGAGGGCUCCCAGUGCUUCACGCUCCGCUGCCUCCUUUUUCACCUGCAACAGAAGUCAAAUUAAACAUGAUGAAAAUAUCAAAAGUAGCAUCACAGCAUAAAAUCAGACAACCAAUUUGAGGCAGGAAUUUGUUCGGUAGUGGCAUCAGACUUGGAAGGAAAUACUUCUAUUUAUUAGUGAUUACUAAGGCAUAUACAAUUACCGAGGGAGUAAGAAGAAUACUAGACUAGACAGUCACAUCUUACAUAGUCUAAGAAUUUGCACAGUGGCUCAUCUUGUACUAAUUUCAUGAAACAGUAGCAAUAAUAGUAAUGAACUAAUGACCGCUGCUCAACCGGCAAAUAACCAAGAACGGCAAGUGGCGAGAUCAAUGACAAUGUUCAUGCUGUCAUGAAUCCUUAAGAUCAUGGUCAAAGUAAAGGAUGUACAUCUACACAGGACAACUUUCGGGUAGCAUAGCUUCAAGAGAAACUUGAUCAAACUGUUUUACAUGAACUUAUAGGGUGUUUGCUUUGAGCAAUCACCUCAUUAUAUCAUUAGUGGAAUGACCCCAUGUCCCCACCCUUUAGUUUGUACUCCCUCCGUCCCAUAUUAAGUGCCGAAAUAUUACAUGCAUCUAGACGUAUUUUAGUAUAUAGAUACAUCCAAAUUUAGAAAAAAUUGAGUCACUUCAUCAAAAGAAACACCCCACUUGAGGCAGAACCUCUAUAUUGUAUGUUUGUCCUGUACAUAUGAUAUCAUAACCAAGAUAGAAGUGCAUUGGGAUUUCAAAUUAGCAUAAUGUAGAAAUGUAAAGUGUGACUGUUUAUGCAAAUAACAAGUGAAAUGACAAAAGGGCGAGCAUCAGCAGAUGGUCAGGUACACUUACCAGAGCUAGCAUGUCAGUCAAAUAGCUUCUGAAUGGUGUCUGCAGUGCCUGUACAAAGAAAGUAAAUGUUUCAGAAGCCUGUGCUUAUCAGAGAAAGAGGUUUCAACGAAUAUUAGUUUGUAAAACAUGUUUCUUAUACAUUGACAUUUCAUAGGUUUAAUGUAUUAAUGGCUUCAGAAAAAAAGGAACUCUGGAACAUCUACAGGACCGACAGAGAAAGAAGGCCAAGCAUUCAUCUAAUCUAAAAUAAGAGCAAAGCUAUCCAGGAAAGCAAGGAUAAAAAUGCAGUACAUCGCAAAAAUGCAGCACAUGGACAUCCAGAAAAAAGAACUCCUAACAGGCUAACACAGAUGCAAACCACAAGUGGAAAAUGACAAGAAACGACAAAUAGGAUCGUCAACAAGAAUGCCUGCAACAAUCUGACCCACCAGCAUGAGGGAAUAUCCUGUAAGAAGCCUACACAGGGAUAUUUCAAAAGGCUUAUCAAACCUAGUCAACCAUAUUUUCGUUAGACAUCUUAGAAGUUCUACCAAUCCUAACAAUCACUAUUCUCAUUCAAAUGUGAAUUGCCAAUUUGCCGGAAACCACUUCUCUCAUCCAACGUUGUUCAAAUCUCCAGCAUAGGUAGAUGGGUUUCUUAGGCAGCCAACAACAUUAAAAUGUACUCCCUCUGUCCCGUAAUUCUUGUCGAAAUAUUACAUGUAUCUAGACAUUUUUUAGGAAUAGAUACAUCCAUAUUUGAGCAAAUUUGAGACAAGAAUUAUGGGACGAGGGAGUAAUAUAUAUACGCUGAAAGGGUGCUCGCCCUUUUUGUUCCACAUUCAUUUCACUCGACUAGCAAUCAUCAACGAUAUAACAGAGACACGGUGCAUCUACUGCAGGGGCUCUCAAAAACACAACCUACACGGAUAGAACUGUAGAACUACGAUAAAAAUAGAAAUAGAAGGGUAGAACUCGUCAUACAAAUCCAUACACCAUCAGCACGAGAACCGCGACCCCCCAUUACACAGAUCGCACGCGCACGGAUCGAGAGAUGCAUCACAGAUCAGGGCAGGACCGGACCUGGAGGUCGUCGGGGAGGUACUGGUGCU